UUCGCGGCCUAUCAGCUUGUUGGUUGAGGUAGUGGCUCACCAAGGCGACGACGUUGUAGCCGGCCUGAGAGGGCGACCGGCCACACUGGGACUGAGAUACGGCCCAGACUCCUACGGGAGGCAGCAGUGGGGAAUAUUGCACAAUGGGCGCAAGCCUGAUGCAGCAACGCCGCGUGCGGGAUGACGGCCUUCGAGUUGUAAACCGCUUUCACCCAUGACGAAGCGCAAGUGACGGUAGUGGGAGAAGAAGCACCGGCUAACUACGUGCCAGCAGCCGCGGUGAUACGUAGGGUGCGAGCGUUGUCCGGAUUUAUUGGGCGUAAAGAGCUCGUAGGCGGUUUGUCGCGUCGGAAGUGAAAACUUGGGGCUUAACCCUGAGCUUGCUUUCGAUACGGGCAGACUUGAGGAAUGUAGGGGAGAAUGGAAUUCUUGGUGGAGCGGUGGAAUGCGCAGAUAUCAGGAGGAACACCAGUGGCGAAGGCGGUUCUCUGGACAUUUCCUGACGCUGAGGAGCGAAAGCGUGGGUAGCAAACAGGCUUAGAUACCCUGGUAGUCCACGCCGUAAACGGUGGGUACUAGGUGUGGGUCUCAUUCCACGAGAUCCGUGCCGCAGCUAACGCAUUAAGUACCCCGCCUGGGGAGUACGGA
rnacentral:rRNA from 1 species